rnacentral:rRNA from 1 species
UACAGAGGUCUCAAGCGUUGUUCGGAUUCAUUGGGCGUAAAGGGUGCGUAGGUGGCGUUGUAAGUCGGGUGUGAAAUUUCGGAGCUUAACUCCGAAACUGCAUUCGAUACUGCGGUGCUUGAGGACUGGAGAGGAGACUGGAAUUCAUGGUGUAGCAGUGAAAUGCGUAGAGAUCAUGAGGAAGACCAGUGGCGAAGGUGGGUCUCUGGACAGUUCCUGACACUGAGGCACGAAGGCCAGGGGAGCAAACGGG